AUUGAACGCUGGCGGCAGGCCUAACACAUGCAAGUCGAGCGGAGCGGCGGACGGGUGAGUAAUGCCUAGGAAUCUGCAUGGUAGUGGGGGAUAACGUCCGGAAACGGGCGCGAAUACCGCAUCCUCUCAGAUGAGCCUAGGUCGGAUGAGCUAGUUGGUGGGGUAAAGGCAUACCAAGGCGACGAUCCGUAACUGGUCUGAGAGGAUGAGCAGUCACACUGGAACUGAGACACGGUCCAGACUCCUACGGGAGGCAGCAGUGGGGAAUAUUGGACAAUGGGCGCAAGCCUGAUCCAGCCAUGCCGCGUGUGUGAAGAAGGUCUUCGGAUUGUAAAGUACUUUAAGUUGGGAGGCGUUACCAACAGAAUAAGCACCGGCUAACUUCGUGCCAGCAGCCGCGGUAAUUC
rnacentral:rRNA from 1 species